UACAGAGGGUGCGAGCGUUGUUCGGAAUUAUUGGGCGUAAAGGGCGCGUAGGCGGCGCCACAAGUCACUUGUGAAAACUCUGGGCUCAACUCAGAGCCUGCAAGCGAAACUGUGGUGCUGGAGUAUGGGAGAGGUGCGUGGAAUUCCCGGUGUAGCGGUGAAAUGCGUAGAUAUCGAGAGGAACACCUGCGGCGAAGGCGGGUUGCUGGGCUGACACUGACGCUGAUGCGCGAAAGCCAGGGGAGCGAACGGG
rnacentral:rRNA from 1 species